rnacentral:rRNA from 1 species
GAUGAACGCUGGCGGCGUGCUUAACACAUGCAAGUCGAACGAUGAACCUCACUUGUGGGGGGAUUAGUGGCGAACGGGUGAGUAACACGUGAGUAACCUGCCCUUGACUCUGGGAUAAGCCUGGGAAACCGGGUCUAAUACUGGAUACGACCUUCUGGCGCAUGCCAUGUUGGUGGAAAGCUUUUGUGGUUUUGGAUGGACUCGCGGCCUAUCAGCUUGUUGGUGGGGUAAUGGCCUACCAAGGCGACGACGGGUAGCCGGCCUGAGAGGGUGACCGGCCACACUGGGACUGAGACACGGCCCAGACUCCUACGGGAGGCAGCAGUGGGGAAUAUUGCACAAUGGGCGCAAGCCUGAUGCAGCGACGCCGCGUGAGGGAUGAAGGCCUUCGGGUUGUAAACCUCUUUCAGUAGGGAAGAAGCCCAUCCUUCGGGGUGGGUGACGGUACCUGCAGAAGAAGCGCCGGCUAACUACGUGCCAGCAGCCGCGGUAAUACGUAGGGCGCAAGCGUUAUCCGGAAUUAUUGGGCGUAAAGAGCUCGUAGGCGGUUUGUCGCGUCUGCCGUGAAAGUCCGGGGCUUAACUCCGGAUCAGCGGUGGGUACGGGCAGACUAGAGUGCAGUAGGGGAGACUGGAAUUCCUGGUGUAGCGGUGAAAUGCGCAGAUAUCAGGAGGAACACCGAUGGCGAAGGCAGGUCUCUGGGCUGUAACUGACGCUGAGGAGCGAAAGCAUGGGGAGCGAACAGGAUUAGAUACCCUGGUAGUCCAUGCCGUAAACGUUGGGCACUAGGUGUGGGGGACAUUCCACGUUUUCCGCGCCGUAGCUAACGCAUUAAGUGCCCCGCCUGGGGAGUACGGCCGCAAGGCUAAAACUCAAAGGAAUUGACGGGGGCCCGCACAAGCGGCGGAGCAUGCGGAUUAAUUCGAUGCAACGCGAAGAACCUUACCAAGGCUUGACAUGAACCGGAAUGAUGCAGAGAUGUGUCAGCCACUUGUGGCCGGUUUACAGGUGGUGCAUGGUUGUCGUCAGCUCGUGUCGUGAGAUGUUGGGUUAAGUCCCGCAACGAGCGCAACCCUCGUUCCAUGUUGCCAGCGGGUUAUGCCGGGGACUCAUGGGAGACUGCCGGGGUCAACUCGGAGGAAGGUGGGGACGACGUCAAAUCAUCAUGCCCCUUAUGUCUUGGGCUUCACGCAUGCUACAAUGGCCGGUACAAAGGGUUGCGAUACUGUGAGGUGGAGCUAAUCCCAAAAAGCCGGUCUCAGUUCGGAUUGAGGUCUGCAACUCGACCUCAUGAAGUUGGAGUCGCUAGUAAUCGCAGAUCAGCAACGCUGCGGUGAAUACGUUCCCGGGCCU